CUUUCACUGAACCUUCACUGAAAGUUGACUACUCAAGGGAUUGAAGGAAAAUGGUCAACAUACACAGAGGUAGUCAACAUAUGGAACAACUGCACUGGAUAAAGAAAAAAACAACAACAGCCACUUACACAAUUGAUGUUACAAGGCAGGCAGGCUCAGUUGCUCACCGAUGAGAUGGAUGCAGCGGUGGAUGCUUUCCACUUCCAGCCAGGCAGGUCUGCUGCAAGCCACUCGAGCUUCAGCUACUGAUGACUGGCUGGGGAAUGGAUGGAAGCUGUACAAGGCAGGCAGAGUCAUCUAAAAGAAGUUGGAGGCGAUGGUUCAAGCCAUAUGAUGAUGUUUGGAAACUCUUGCCAUUCUAGUGCUCACUCCAGAUUUUCUCCCAAGCAUAACGCUGGCACCAUUAGAGCAAAACGCUAUUAAUUUUUUUUUGUAGGUAGUUCUGGGUAAACCCAACCUUACGUAAACUUUCCAGAACUGAAGAACAUAUUGUCUCUGCAUCUUGUUUCUUCAAUUCAACAAGCUUGAGGGAAAAUGUUGGUGGUUUCUCUGAGUCCUCAACUUUUACGAAAACUAUCACAACUGGUUUGCAGGAUACCAUUGAGGCUUCGUCAAUGAUCAAACAUUUUCAGAUUCUGUGCAAUAAUGCUGGUAAACAUUUUGGUUUUAAUUUCAUUCGCAAUGCACUCAACUAUUUUCACAACUGUUGGCCUUGAAUGCAAUUCUAUUCCCAGAUAUACUCCAUUUUCAGUUUGUAAUUCUAUUAAUUCUUCUAUGCUUGAAAUUGGUCUACAUGCUUUUGCCAGGCUGUAAACAGUUUUGAACAUUUUACAAGUGGUGCCUAAAUGUUUUUUCAGGCAACUUGUCCAUUGCUUUCGUUAUGGCAUGCUGCUCCCCUUGUUUUACGUUGUCUCUACAAAUGGUGUAAGCUUUUGAUAUGAAAUGUUCUCUCAUUUUCUUCCUUAGAGACGCCUGUUGCAGUUCUUUAUUUUUCCCAAAUGCCUCAAUCUUGAAAUGUUUCUAUUCUAUUCUUUGGACACAUCAACACAGCUCUCUAUUACGAACUCAUAUUUCGCACAGUACUUGCAACCUAAUUUCUUGUUUGAAACUUCCAGUCCCUCAUACUUUUCUUGAAAGGUUCUCAGCUGUUGCAAUGUCCAGCAGUGAGAAAGAUUAAUUUCAAUUUCUGUCUUGGGUGACUCAAUACUUGACUUGCUGCUUUCUCCAAAUUCAAGUGGUGGAAGUAGGGGUGCUUGGGACAGUUUUGGAUCGUUCAAGGCCAAUUCUGAUGGUGGGCUGUGCCAGUUUUGGUUUCUUGGCGAAGAAACUGGGCAGUCUUUUUCCUUUUCAUCCUUCCUAUUAAAGGCUACUACUGCAAAAAAAGGUGAUUUGUAGCUGAGAACUAAUGCUAAUGGAAGGGAUCUCUGUUUUCACCCAACAAUGUACAAUCUUUUCAGGAUGUGACUGGGGUCCAACAAGCAGGAACCUCACAGAGUCACAGAGAACUCAAAAAAACAACUAUCACACUUUACACACAAAAUGGUGGGGCUCAUGCGGAGAAUGGGCCACUACCUUGGGGUCCUGCCAACUCCUACUCUGGCCUGGGCCUCUGAACUCAACAGCCCCAAACAUUUCUUUCAAAACUUAUAUUGUCUGACUGCCAACAGCUGUAGAAUAGCUCCAGUCAUCAUCCGAUAUUCUUCUCUCUCUCCACUGGGGGGCGGUUGUUAAACAGACACAGUGGUCAUUAAGUAAACCCAUUGCCUGCAAUGGGUGGGGUUUUUUUUUUGCAAGAAACUAGAAGUCAAUGCUGGUUUCUGGCAAAAAAAAAGUAGUAAAUUGUAGCCACUUGACUAUGGGAUGCAGAAAAUGGCUAUAAAUGUGGGAUAGUGACCAAGUGCCCAAAAUCUGAUCACAUGGAUGGCCAAUGAAACAUAGACCUCCCCAUAAGUAUCCCUGGGGAGGUCCAUCAUAACUUUGAAUGGUCGCUAUGUGACCAAAUCAAGGAGUACCUGGACUUUUACAAAUAUAUCAAACAACUUCAAACAUUAUGAAAACCUGUCAAAUAAUAACACCAACCCCAAAUUCACCCUCUUCCCUUUUUCUCCUAAAAAUAACUUUUUUAUAUAAAAGAAACCAGUAUUCCCCAAAGCAGCCAGUGUAAUACUUGACACCCUUCAUAUUUUUGGUUGUCUUAUUUCAAGUAAAAUAUUGCAGUGUAUCCCCAGAUUUCUAUCAGAUGUAACAAAAAAAAAUAAAAAAUCUUCAUUUGAGAGAAGAAAUGCUAAGCUUUUAAUGGCAUGCAUGGAAAAAAGAAAUCCGCAUAUAGAAAUUUGAUUUUAAACAAAGUAGUUUCAUAAUAAGGGAAGCAAAUUCAUUUUUCAUCGAGCCUUAGGGAAUAAACUAUAUAAUACUAUAAAGUAACAAGUGCAACUUCUUAACAGAGUUCUUCUGUUUUGUUUUAUCUUUUCUACUCCACAAAAAUCUUAGUAGCAAGAUUGUAGCUCCUAAAAGAAACAUCAAGGGAACAUCCAUCAUAUUGUUUUGAAUUAAUAUUCAUAACUCUUCCUUUAUGAGUUCUUUUGGAAGUCUAUAACUUUUCACAUGUGCACUUAAUAAUCUGUGCUACUAAAAAUGUUGCAGCAUAUAACCUAUAUCUCUUACGAUGAUAAGAUUGGGAGAGAAAAGAUAUGUUGAGGUACACUUUGAAAGUAUGCGUGUUAAUGAUGUUCCCGUGGCAUUUUGAACUAAACAAAGGAGUCUGUUGCAUAAUUCAUUGGUUAAGGAUAUUAGCAUGAACUAGGCAAGAUUUUUUUUUAUAUUUCUGGUGCUUUGAAAUGCUGCAGAUUCUUUUCAGCUUAGCCAAUUGCAUUCUUCUUCUUCUUGUGCCAUGUCCGUCAUCGGACAUUGGCGAUCAUGUUGGCAAUCCUAUUUUUCUCAACAGCGAUAUGAAAAAAUUCUGCUGAGUUUUGUCCAAACCAGUCCCUUAGUUUUUGAAACCAAGUUCUUCUUCUGCCUGGGCCUCGUUUGCCUUCAAUUUUUCCCCGGAGGAUUAAGUGAAGGAUGCUGUAUUUUUCUGGGUGUCGCAUCACAUGUCCAAUUGCAUAGGGUAUACCAAUAUUCUACUUUCCAAUUUAAAGCAAUAGUGAUUUUUUUUACUGGAAGAGUUUUUAUGGAAGAGCUCCAGACAACUCUGACUUUCCCACUGGCAUUGUGAAGUACACAUAUCAACCUCUUCAACUGCAGCAUCCCCUGGCAAUAACCUGUGGGCAGCACUGCCUGUUUUAUCUACUUAAAACAUUUUAAAGGGAUAUCUUACAAAGAUGUUUUAAAGCUGUUCUCUGAAAAAGAUGUCAAAAAUGAUCGAAUGGUGAAACAGUUUAUAGUAAAUAUGAAGCUGGAAAGAGGGCCCGGAACAUGUAACAGUUACAUGUAUGGUCAUUAUAAAAUAACCACAAAACGUU